ACAAUGAAGAGUUUGAUCCUGGCUCAGGAUGAACGCUAGCUACAGGCUUAACACAUGCAAGUCGAGGGGCAUCAGGAAGAAAGCUUGCUUUCUUUGCUGGCGACCGGCGCACGGGUGAGUAACACGUAUCCAACCUGCCCUUUACUCGGGGAUAGCCUUUCGAAAGAAAGAUUAAUACCCGAUGGCAUAAUGAUUCCGCAUGGUUUCAUUAUUAAAGGAUUCCGGUAAAGGAUGGGGAUGCGUUCCAUUAGGUUGUUGGUGAGGUAACGGCUCACCAAGCCUUCGAU
rnacentral:rRNA from 1 species